UUUUGGUUUUCUUUCUAUUUUCCCUUUCGAUCACCUUCUGUGUGCUCUCAACACCACUAAUAUCGCCUUCUCUAUUUCCAUAGGUUUCCUCCAUUUUCAAACAUUGCCUCUGCAAAAGUUCAUCAAAGAUUAGCCUCUCCUUCUCUAUUUCCAUAUAUUUCCUCCAUUUUCGAAUCCUAGCACUCUAUCCCUUUCUAACACCGCCUCUGCAAGAGUUCAUCAAAGGUUAGCCUUUCCUUCUCUGUUUCCACAUAUUUCCUCCAUUUUCGAAUCCUAGCACUCUAUCCCUUUCAAACACCAUCUCUGAGCUCUCAACACCACUGAUAUCGCCUCGCUUCAUUCCUCCGAACUCGAAGAGUUUGUCAAAAGUUAGCCUCUCCUUCUCUAUUUCCACAAAUUUCUUCGACGGAUUUUGAGCAGAUCUCCCUGAGAAAAUUGAAACUGAAGGACAAAAAGCACAGGGAAAGAGAGAGAAAAAGAAGGGGUGGAUCUUGUUCGCAGGCCACUGGGUUCUCUUUAUUUGGACGCUUUUUGAUCCGUCAGUUUCACCUAUGAUCUCAUUUUCUCACUUUUCAGCAUUGGAGGAGCAAGUGAUGGACCGAGUAGAAAAUUGAAGCACAAAAUUUGUGAUUGUAGAGUUACAAGUGCAUACUGAGAAAAUUACACACACACUCACAGAGAUACAGAGAGAUAUAUAUAUAUAUAUAUAUACAUAGAUAGAGAAGCAUUGGUGGCGGUUUGUCCCCCAUUAAUGUAAGUUGCUUCUCUGAACAAAAUAGAAAAUAUUAUGCAAACUAAUUUUGCUUUAAUGUAAUGAACUUAUCAUUGAACCUUUA